CUGUCCGAUGAUGAUGAAACUAAAUACUUUCGUUCUUCUGAUGCGCUAUCUCAUGGCGCGGUGUGGAAGCAAUUUGGAGACCUGAACUGAGGAAAA
rfam:Triticum urartu cultivar G1812 contig354096, whole genome shotgun sequence.